CGUGUAGUGCUAGGGUGCCAAAUAAAUAAACACAAAAACGAUUCAUUAUUUGCCACGCCCACUCCAACGCCCACAGAUACCAGAUAGGUAUCAGAUAGUCGGGGAACUCGAGUAUAGCGUUCUCUCUUGUUUUCAAUUUACAUUUGGCGGUCAGUACAAAUUACCAGUGUUCCAGCAUGAACUGCUUUCCUAAACUUUGGUUAAAAGGGCAUGAAGCAUUUUCCAUUUGUACUUGCCUAGCACCAAAAUGUAAAAUUAAGAGUAUAAUUCUUAAAUAUAAAACAUUUAGGGUAAGAAAUAGGAGACAAUUUCCCAUGUGUAUACAAAUUUCUUUAUAUGCAACAUGAAUUUGCCUAAAUAUAAUAAUGAAUUUAAUUGGCGUGAGCCACCCAGAAUUUGGUGCCAUUUUUAGAUAUUGCCAAAAUGGCAAACAGCGGCCGGCGGAAUUAUUCUUGCGAAAGAGGUGCACUUAGGCGCAAUAUUGAUUUUUCGAUUUUGGCUCAUCGUUUCCAUCACCGGGUGUUGUGCAAUAUUCUCAUUUGGGUAAGGGUCAGGAAAAUGGGAACACUCUGGAAUGGGAAAAUAUGCAUCUUCUUCACUUACCACAAUAAGAAUGCAAGUGACCAGUAGGCCGUACUUCCAGGGUGUUAUAGGAAACGACUUCUCCAUGUUGCCACGAUGUCGCACAGAAGAGAUGACCUCCGAGGUCCGGAAACUCGCUCGAUUCGCACUAUGCCACUGGAUUGGGGCAGUGCAUUGUUUACUUGCGCCCAGGUCACCUAGGUCAACACCCACAUUAAACUGGGCUCGGCGCUCUGAGCCCCCU